UCCAGACUCCUACGGGAGGCAGCAGUGAGGAAUAUUGGUCAAUGGGCGAGAGCCUGAACCAGCCAAGUCGCGUGAGGGAGGACGGUCCUAUGGAUUGUAAACCUCCUUUGCCGGGGAGCAAAAAGCGGUACGUGUACCGCAUCGAGAGUACCCGGAGAAAAAGCAUCGGCUAACUCCGUGCCAGCAGCCGCGGUAAUACGGAGGAUGCGAGCGUUAUCCGGAUUUAUUGGGUUUAAAGGGUGCGUAGGCGGAAGGUUAAGUCAGCGGUCAAAUGUCGGUGCUCAACACCGGCCUGCCGUUGAAACUGGUCUUCUUGAGUGAGCGAGAAGUAUGCGGAAUGCGUGGUGUAGCGGUGAAAUGCAUAGAUAUCACGCAGAACUCCGAUUGCGAAGGCAGCAUACCGGCGCUCAACUGACGCUGAGGCACGAAAGCGUGGGGAUCGAACAGGAUUAGAUACCCUAGUA
rnacentral:rRNA from 1 species